UACACAUGUGAAAUUCCAACUUUGAAAAUAAAAUGUGACCACGUUUGUAUUGGAGAGUACUAAUUGGGUGGUUAGUUUUUCAUUAUGUAGUGUGCUAUUCGGUGAUCUCUUGUGCCUCCUUUUAUAAAUUUAUUUUUGAGUUUAAACUUUAAACUGACAAUGACAAUGUAAAUUAAUUUUAUUGCUUUAAAAAAAUGUAAAUUAAUUUUAUAUUAAUAAUUAAUAAAAAUAGUUCAAACUUUCAUGUCAUAUUAAGUAAAUGAAGUUAAGG
rnacentral:lncRNA from 1 species